UCUGGUCUUGUAGCUGGUGGCCUGGGAGAUGCUUUGGGUGCUGGAAGUGACUGUAGUGAAUGAUCUGGAACCGAAGUCAAAGAAUGGAGCAUUUGUCCCUCUUUUUCGAAGGCAGGAAGAAGGGAGACAAGGGAGCAAUAACAGUGAGAGUGUAUACAGAGGGAAAACAGUGGCAGAAUACAAAUCAACCAACCCCAUGCACAGACGGCUGGGAUCCUUUGAGACUCUUGUUUUAUGGAUGAAAUAAAUUCAGCCAAUGAGGAAUGGAAGGCAUU